rnacentral:tRNA from 1 species
GGGGGCGUAGCUCAGUUUGGGAGAGCGUACGGUUCGCAUCCGUAAGGUCGAGAGUUCGAUCCUCUUCGUCUCCACCA